rnacentral:SRP_RNA from 1 species
GCCGGGUGCGGUGGCAGGUGCCUGUAAUUCCAGCUACUCGGGAGGCUGAGGCAGGAGAAUCGCUUGAACCUGGGAGGCGGAGGUUGCAGUGAGCUGAGAUCGUACCACUGCACUCCAGCCUGGGUAACAGAGUGAGACCCCAUCUCUACAAAGAGGUUCGUUUGUUUGUCUGUUUGAGCUGGAGUCUCAUUUCACCCAGGCUGGAGUACAAUGGUACGAUCUCAGCUGACUGCAACCUCCGCCUCCCAGGUUCAAGCGAUUCUCCUGCCUCA